AUUGAACGCUGGUGGAAUGCUUUACACAUGCAAGUCGAACGGCAGCACGGGGCAACCUGGUGGCGAGUGGCGAACGGGUGAGUAAUACAUCGGAACGUGCCCAUGUCGUGGGGGAUAACGUAGCGAAAGCUACGCUAAUACCGCAUACGAUCUACGGAUGAAAGCGGGGGAUCGCAAGACCUCGCGCGAUUGGAGCGGCCGAUGGCAGAUUAGGUAGUUGGUGGGGUAAAGGCCUACCAAGCCGACGAUCUGUAGCUGGUCUGAGAGGACGACCAGCCACACUGGGACUGAGACACGGCCCAGACUCCUACGGGAGGCAGCAGUGGGGAAUUUUGGACAAUGGGCGCAAGCCUGAUCCAGCCAUUCCGCGUGCAGGAUGAAGGCCUUCGGGUUGUAAACUGCUUUUGUACGGAACGAAAAGGUCUGGGUUAAUACCCUGGGCUGAUGACGGUACCGUAAGAAUAAGCACCGGCUAACUACGUGCCAGCAGCCGCGGUAACAC
rnacentral:rRNA from 1 species